rnacentral:misc_RNA from 1 species
GAUGAAGAACGUAGCGAAAUGCGAUAAGUAAUGUGAAUUGCAGAAUUCAGUGAAUCAUCGAGUCUUUGAACGCACAUUGCGCCCCCUGGUAUUCCGGGGGGCAUGCCUGUCCGAGCGUCAUUGCUGCCCUCAAGCACGGCUUGUGUGUUGGGCCUCCGUCCACCUCCCGGGGGACGGGCCCGAAAGGCAGCGGCGGCACCGCGUCCGGUCCUCGAGCGUAUGGGGCUUCGUCACCCGCUCUUGUAGGCCCGGCCGGCGCUUGCCGACACAUCAAUCUUUUUUCCAGGUUGACCUCGGAUCAGGUAGGGAUACCCGCUGAACUUAAGCAUAUCAAUAAGCGGAGGA